rnacentral:snoRNA from 1 species
CCAAAGUGUUGAGUUCAGGUCAGGGCAGCUACCCUGUUCUCUUAAUUAAACUUUGGGACAUUGAAAUUGGCUGAGGGAAAUUACUGAAUAGAGAGUAUUACUCUAUUCAUAUACUUCUAGCCUACACAA